UACGUAGGGGGCGAGCGUUGUCCGGAUUUAUUGGGCGUAAAAGGCUUGUAGGUGGCCACGUCAAGUCGGAUGUGAAAUCUCCCGGCUCAACUGGGAGGGGUCAUUCGAUACUGGCGGGCUCGAGGUCGGUAGGGGGAAGCGGAAUUCCGGGUGUAGUGGUGGAAUGCGUAGAGAUCCGGAGGAACACCAGCGGCGAAGGCGGCAUCCUGGACUGGUCCUGACACUCAGGAGCGAAAGCGUGGGGAGCGAUCCGG
rnacentral:rRNA from 1 species